rnacentral:lncRNA from 1 species
UUUCGAGCAUUUUGGUGCCCGACUUUUAUUUUUUUUGAGUCUAUUUAUUUUUAUAUUGGGUCGAGAAUAAAUAAAUAGGUUAAUUAGUUUUUAUUUUAAUUUUAAUUAUUUAACUUUAUUCAGUUUUUAAUUUAAUAUUGGGUUUCAAAAUAAACUUAGGCCCAUUAUCAUUAACCUAAUUUGUUCCUAUAUAUAUUUACUAGCAUGACUGAUAGAGGGAGGCAAAAGGACAGAACAAAAAAGGAGAAACUGAGAGUGGCUGAUCUAUACUAUCGUACACACAGUUUGGUAAUAGUUUAUAUAUGAUAUAUACUUUAUCUAUUUUGUUGAUAUAUUUGUUACUGUGUUU